rnacentral:rRNA from 1 species
UACGUAGGGGGCUAGCGUUGUCCGGAAUCAUUGGGCGUAAAGAGCGUGUAGGCGGCCCGGUAAGUCCGCUGUGAAAGUCGGGGGCUCAACCCUCGAAUGCCGGUGGAUACUGUCGGGCUAGAGUGCGGAAGAGGCGAGUGGAAUUCCUGGUGUAGCGGUGAAAUGCGCAGAUAUCAGGAGGAACACCAAUUGCGAAGGCAGCUCGCUGGGACGUAACUGACGCUGAGGAGCGAAAGCUAGGGGAGCAAACGGG